GUGCUUCUUGGCGAGCUUCAGCAGGGAUUAAAGUACACAGUCAUUCCCAGACUCCUUCUGGGCUCCCUCUUUGUGGGCUUAGAGGAUGGUGAGCAAGCGGGAAGCCACCCAUGCACUCAAACCAGUCAGCUGUGGCUCUGAAUAUCAACCUAUCACGACUGUGGGGUUACUAGUAAGACCCUUAACCUUCAAUCUUCUUUGUUCACCCAUAAAUGUGUCAUAGAAUUACUGUGGUCUGAGUCAUCUCAUUUCACAUUUGGGAAGCUUCUGCGAUUUGUAACUCAAUCCAUGAUCCUUCAAGUUGGCUAUGAGCCAUUGUCCAAUUGGACACUGAACUCUCUACUAGCCAUAUCUUCAAUGCCUAAGACUUUAUAUUUAUUGAAUGGAAACAAUUGAUCUUAGUUCAUCAGCAAUUGCUACAGUAGUGGAGAAGUUAGUGUUGGGCUGUGGACAAUUUUUAGUCAUAUGCUUUUAAAGGAGCUUAGACCUACCAUCUAGACUUCCUUAACAUCUUAGCUGAGUGUUGGGCUUCGCAGCCCUUAAACGUUAUCACUGAGAACUGAGCUGCCUUGUCCUGCAUGGUUCUUUUGGUCCUGGCAUCUCUGCAACUCCCUUAGAUGUGAUAUAAAGAUGAAUCACUUUAGAGAUGUGCUGGCUCCAAACCUUGCUUCUGCUCUUCUUCCCUAGAACAGGGGAAUCUCUAUGUACUCCGAUUAAGGUCUACAUCUUUCCUUCCAUCUCUUGAGAUACUCAGUUCAUACUUAGACUCAUUUCCUAGCAGGCAUUGGAAACACACAAGUAGAAAAACAUUGUUCUCUCCCUGGCCAGAAACCCCUCUGAUAUGCUUGAGCAGAACUUCGUACUUGUCUGAAGAGGAGAAAGGAGAGUUAGAAUAUUAGACUGGGCUCAGCAAAGAUGGCUAGAGCUUCAGGGCUCAAAGGGAUAUUGAUUCCCUAUAGUUGGAAGACAAUGAGCAGGUAUUGUCACACUGUUUAAAAUGGGUAGAAGAAUGGAAAAACAGAAUUUCACUCAUUUUUUUCCUUCCUUCGUUCCUUCCCACCCUACAUUUCUUUCUUUCUCCCUAUU
rnacentral:lncRNA from 1 species